UGGUCCAUCCUAAUCCCUGCUGAUCAGUCAAUGAUCUGCCAGGCUUCGCUUGUGGACCAGAGCAUCCUAGAAGCUCUGCCAGAGUUGAGCAAGGCCUUUUUUAGGCUUCUGCCAACAGUACUUCUGAACAUGU
rnacentral:snoRNA from 1 species